rnacentral:tRNA from 1 species
GGGGGGGUAAGUUAAAGUCUAAACUGUGUGGUUCAUGCUCACAAAAUAUGUAUUUCGUCCCCCCCU